GCCCCGGUGGCGAAACGGUAGACGCAGCGGACUUAAAAUCCGCCGCCCUCGCGGGUGUGUGGGUUCGAUUCCCACCCGGGGCA
rnacentral:tRNA from 1 species